GGGCUGCCCAGGGAGGUGGUGGAGCCACCAGUCAACAACUGGACAUGGCACUUAGUGCUAUGAUCUAGCUGACAAGGCUAUUAAACACCCCUCAGAAAACAGAUCUGAAGAAAGAAUGAAUGAAGGUCUACACCACUGAAGGCAGAUUUUUCCCCUGUGGAAAAAAACCAAAAAUAAUACUUGAAUUAAUUUGCAAAACAUUUACUGAUCUUAUCAAGACAGAAAGAUAAAGUACCGUAGACUGUGGAAAACUAAACUUUAAUGGAAGAGUUCACGCCAAGGUGUGCCUGGUGUGUUUCUGGAUGGCGGGAGAGUGUUGUGCAAGGAACAUCAGUCCAUCAUUUCAGAAGGAAACGCUUCAUCAAGGUUUGGAAAGCCAUGUAUGAAAUAUUAAUUAAUUACCACUAAAUCUCACUAUACCAUUGUGAAACUGGCACAGUGCAGUUUUAUCCAGGUUGUUUUCAGAAACUGUUGCCUUUUAUUUCAGCUACGUGAUCAUAGUACACUGCAUAAUUUAUACGUCUUUGAGCCUUUUGUAGGGCAUGUUGGUAGAAAAGCUCAUCAGUACCACAGAAGCUGGGAUCUUGUCAAUAUUAGCAAGGAUUUUUUGGGGUUGGCAAACCAACACAACAAAAGCAGUUUCUGUGCUUGUGCCAUCCAUGAUUUUGGUAACUGCAGGUUUGCUACAAUGACUUGUGACAAAGCAGUAAGCAAGCAACACUAAGCUCUCCAAAAUCCAAAAUGAAACAAAAAGGACACCUUGCUGUUAAUUCAGGAUGCCUGCCAUACCGUGGCACACAUGUAUUUUGAAAAUAUAUGAAAAUGAAUUUUAAAAUGGUUUUCAUUUGAGCUGAGGGAGAAGGUAGAUCCUUUUGGGAUUGCGGUGCUGUGCACCAGUCACCAGCAAUGCAGAGCGUAGGAGCACAGGCAACUCCAGACUGCCACUGACAAAACCAGGAAAUAUUUUUUCCACGUUUUUUGAUCAGAAUAAAUAUUCUGACAUGCUGUUUUUACGUUGGAGGAAGGCACGUUCAGGUUGUGGAUAAUUUCAAAACUCUUCGUCUCUUUGGAAAUACCUUUUUUGCAUUUUGGAAAAAUAUCCGCAGG